AAUAUUUACAGUUUGCCACACAGUGGAGAUAAAUAAAGUUUUAAUGUUUCUCCCAAUCACAUGGCGUUAAAUUAUGAUACAGGCAAGUCCACCUAAGCUGGAACAGGUUCUGGGACUUUGCCACUGUCCGCUGGAGCCACACUGUCAUAGUAUUCAACCAGCACUUUCCAGCCGCCAGGGCACAUAAAUCCAUCAGGAGGGUUCUCUUUGUUUCUCGCAAGUGUUCGCAUCUUGGUGCCAGAUAUGAAAAGGAAGUCUUGAGGCCUCGUGGGAUCAAAGAAUGCCAUUUUCCCCUGAGUUUUAUCAUAUGCAGCACCCUUGAAAGGAAGGAUGUUUAGCCGCUCC
rnacentral:misc_RNA from 1 species